CGGGAUGGAGGGAGGGAGCGUCGGCACAGGGCAAGGUGCAGGAGCUGCUGUGUGCGGGGACAGCUCGGGGGGAGGGAGUGGUUCCAUCACAGGGUGGGCAGACACCGUGCCCAGGCUGGAGGGGCCUCGUGCCCAGCAGUGCACCGUGCCCACAGGACAGGACAUGGCCACAGGCAGGGAUGGGCACAGCCAUACUUAAGGAAGCCAGAGCCCAUUCCUAUGCUUUUUUAGCAUCCAAGGACAUAGGCUACCCACACACAGGAGGUGUUUGUGCUAGUAAAACCCCACAGUCCUCCUGAUCCAUGAUUUUCUUAUUAUACAUCUGGAAGCGAGAUACCCAGUUCUGCCUGUUUGCAUUCUGCUGAAGAAGGAGGGAUCAGCCUGGCCGUGUCCUUGCAGGAAUAUCAUUGCUAUACGCAGCCAUUGGGAGCAUCUCUGCAUUGCAAAUAUUCCUAAGAGCCUCCAAAUCAUGCACAGACCUCGCUGCGUUGGAAGCCAUUUUUAGGGAAUGCAUGAACCAAGCCAAUUUUCUUCAGAAAAAACACCUUUCCCUGGAUAGGCUGACAUGUCUGCUUAUGCAUUUAUGUCCAACUGCAACAUCUCUUCUGUUUUUGGAAGCUCUUUGAUCAUAAGAUCAUUCCGCAUCGCCUUUAAUUUCCUGGGGCUGGCGUCAGGCACCAGGACAGGCAUUGACACGGGCUGGGAAAGAACAGCCCUGUGGGUGGGUGCGGGUGGGCACAGGUGAGCAGCCCCAAUCCCCUCCAAACCCUGCCCAGCUGAGAUCCAAACAGGUUCCAGCUGCCUGGCCAGCUAAUCAGGGGAUAAUUAGGGAGGGCAGCAGCAGGCUAUAAGAAGGAGUCUGUCCUUCUCUCUUCCUUUUGCUUCUUAUGUGUCAGAAGGGACUAUCGAGGAGAGAUAGGACACAGGCUGAAUCCUGAGCUGGGCUCUGCCUCACAGCCUUCAGUGAGUGCCCCCAAGCACCACCUGCACAUCGUGUGCCACGGCUGGGAGGAGGCUGAAGGCUUCAGAGCUUUGCCACGUGCUGCUGCCGCCGCGUGUGUGACAGGAAUCUGCUGCCUGCAGCACCUGCCUUACAGCAUCUCUCUUACAAAGCCUGGGAGAGCUGCAGGCCUGGGGUUCAGUGCAGCUCUUGUGCUUACAGCACAGAUGAAGAUGAGGCAAACAGACCCUGGGAAAUUCAAGAAUGUGUAGAGGAGCAGGAAGACACCUAUUUAAAAAGAAACUGCACCACCCUGCUAUCCUCCCCUGUGACUCCGCAUCCAUCUCAUGCUGCAUGGAGCCUGGCCAAGGAUUUGUGCAGGGGCGGUGCUGGCAGGCCUGAGCAGGCCGUCGGCAUGGAAGCGUGGCAGAUGCAGCACAUCUGGAGGGCUCCGCACUGCUGGCACCGCUCUGCGGGGCUGCUGAUGGCUCUGCAGCAAAAGAAAGCGCAGGCACUGAUGGCCUUUGUAUCGCAACACACGUUUGAAAGGGAUUUUGGAUGCCUGGUUCUGUACUGGUUACUCAGCCAUGAUGUGCCUGGCACAACGGCGCUGGGCAGCCAGGCUCAGCCACGGUGCCGCACUGCCCUGCAGAGUGCUGUGCCCCAGUUCCAGCCAUGGGGCAGCCAUAGGGCUCAGGUGCUUCUCCACAGCAGCGCACAGGAGCUCAUCUUGCCUUGCUUGGAGGGCUACAUGUGGGGGAGCAGUGAGCCAGGCUGGCUCUGCACCCUGGGGAGACCUCACAGCUUGUGGCUGGGCAACAAAACCAUUGAGAGACCCAAACUGCUGCAACAUCAGCAUACCAAUGGGUGUUGCUUGGUGCACCUGGAAGGUGUGUUGUUAAGAAAAGCAAGAGAGAGCACAUCAGUAGAUGGCAAUGCCCCCAGGUGCCAAGCAGCUCGCUGGGCUGGGAGUGCAGAGAUGCGGAAGACCACACAGCACCGUUACAGCAAAGGGGGAUGAAAUGUGGGUGCUUUUCUUUUGACUCACAAAUGAUGAUGGACCAGACAGUUUGGAUAAGCAAUCCAAAUAGCCUAAAUAAUCAUUGGGCCAGAUCCUUUCGGGACUGAGCAGUUGCUAAUGGUUGUUCAGAAACAAAUACAAAAUCCACUUCAUCCUCAUGGAGUCAUUUCUGAAGCAUGAGAUAAACUGCAUCCUCUGCUGCCAGGGUGGGGAGCACAAACAGUGCCCUCUUAGGACACCACACCCUGAUGCUACCAUGAGGCCACCUCGGGCAGGAGCUGGCUCUGUCUGCAUUGCCAUACCCGGGGGUGCUGCGGCUGUGCCCAGCUUACCUGCUUGAGAAGGGGUUUGAGAGCAGCACUGGGCAGUGACAAGCAGCCACAGACGAUGUCAGCCCUCCUGCGCUCUGAGAGUGCUCCUGCGUGAGCAGCAUCAGAUGGAGCAUCCCCAUGUGGAACAUCUCUGUAAAGAGCAUCCCUGUAUGAGCACCUCUGUAUGGAGCAGCCCUGGAGGGAGAUCCCUGUAUGAAUCAGGUCAGUAUGAGUGUACCUGAAGGAAGCACCCCCCACAAGGCACAUAUGGAGUGCUGACGGUCCCCUGUCCUGGUCCUGCAGUGCCCUGUGUGAGCCUCCCACAUGCUGUGAUGGAGGCCUGGCCAUUCCUGGCAUGUUUUCAGUAGAAGAACAUUGGCUAUAUUUAGAUCAAAAAUAAAUACAUUCUUGGCUGGUGCAGGAUUUUUAAUGCCUGAUGAAUUACCAGAACUUCUUUCACAGGAAACUAUAAAAUUCCUUGGGGUGAGCGCUUGCCUCUGCCCAGGCUAAGGCAAACAGAGCUCUGCCUGCAGCAAGUGCUGGUGGGAUUGUUAUUAAUAACCACACUGCUGUGUUUGUUAUUGGUGCUGCAUGAGAACGAGGAACAGAACCUGCAAGUGACACCGAGCAUCCAAGUGUAGAGCAGAGAAUGCUUCCUCAUGGAGGGCGAGGAGCGCAUCGCUCACAGCUCGCUGUGUUCAGCUCACUCUCAGGGCAUUGGGAAAGCAGUGCUUGCCUGCUCAGGGGCUGUGUGCUGGCACAGUGUGGCAGAGGCCUGCUGUCUGGGUCUGCCAUUGCUUUUCAUUGGCAGGAGCACAGAGGAUGGGCGUCUUGGUGCUGCUGUGCCAGGUGCCGGCAGCAGUGCAUGCCUGUAGGGGUGGCUGAGGGCAGCUGGGGAUGCUGCCAGGCACUCCUGGAAGCAUGGGGACAGACGGACAUUUCUGUGCUGACAGAUGGACACAUCCUCCAACACAGACAGACAUUUAUUUCCUCUGGCGCUGACGGAGCUGAAAGGUGUAAUGCUGUUUUACAGGGCCAGGGGAAGGCCUUUUAUUCUAAAGCUGCUCCCAGCACCGUGACAGGGGUUUCUGGUCCUUCUCCAUCCCCAUUACUUCUCCAUGGACUUGCCUGCCCUGCAGCCCCCCUUGCUUGCAUGGCCUCCCAUGGUACACACAGACUGUAGCAUUGGCAGAACAGCAGAUUUACUAAAAUGCUUUCAUUUCUAUUGCACGAUUAUUUUACACGGUGCAUUCGUAUAACCUGGCUGUGUGGCAGAAGGCACAAACUCUGCCCAGCGAGGCUAAGGUUUCUCACUGCUGUCCUCAUGCCUGAGUCUUUGAAGUUUUAUAAAGAGCUCAAUCUUUGGACAAAGCAGCCAGUAAAUCAUCUCCACUAACUGCAAUUCCAUCCAACAAAUACACCGGCCUGGCUGCAGCAGCGGCACUUUGAGCUCAAUUUCACCCUAGUGGUGGAGCAGCACAGAAGUGCAACAGACAGAGGAAUGGGGAUCUCCUGCUGCCGGCUCCUCCUGCCCCCAGAGCCUGCCGGGUCCCCCAGGGCCACCGAUGCGCCCACCCCACCCCGGGCUCUGCUCCCCCCCCGGGUGCUGCACACUGCCCUCCUGCUGGGCACCGCUCCGUUCCCCCUGAGCUCCUGGCUUCUAGCACCAAUAAAAUCCUGUUUCUUCCUUCUGCUAGAGCAGGUUGGCUGCUUUAAGCUGAAAAGCCAAAAGCACGCUCUUCAAAUAUUGAUAUUUUCCCAGGAAAAAAUAAUCUGCGGUGCAUUGAUCUGUCCAUCUCUCUUAGCACCGAAAUUCUUCACAUUCUGACCUCCUGACACAGCUCGCUUUUGUGGAGAAAACUGCCCUGUUUUUUCUCUCGCCUUUCCGGAUCCUGGAGGCUUUUUCCAGCAGCCUGAGGUUCUCAGCAUGGUAAUAUCAUAUCCGUGUUUUGCUCUCAGUAAUCAUCAGCUCAACUCCCAUUUUAGGACAUAUUUUCUCUAAAACGCUGCCUUACUUGGCUUCUUCCUUCUGACGGCUCCGUUACAUCACCGCCGGGCAGCCCGCUCCAAGUAUUGCCCCGGCUCCUCAGGGCCGCGCUGUGGGACGGGGACAGCGGCGUCCCCUGAUGUCAGUCACCCCUCUCCCUGCCCUCCUGCAGCAACAUUCCCGCUGGCCAUGCCGGGGUGGCAGCGUCUUCUGCUGUCCGGGCCCGACCUCUUUUGCCCUCAGAAUAGCAAGAAGGCAGCUGCGCGGCUUUUGCUCUAAAGCCCCAGGCUGCCAUUUCCCCUCGUGGCAGUGCCCAUUUCCCCUCGUGGCAGUGCCCAUUUCCCCUUGUGGCAGUGCCCAUUUCCCCUCGUGGCAGUGCCCAUUUCCCCUCGUGGCAGUGCCCGCCUGGCAGACAGGCCCCAGCUCCUCCUGCGGUGCCGGCGCUGCCCCUCGCCCUCCUGCGGCUGGGACGGGCUGCUCCCUGCUGCUGUGUCCUUCGCUGUCUGACAUCCACAGCCACGCUCUGCAAAUCUGCUUUUGGCCCAAACCCCACAGUGUAAUGUCCAGUGCCAAGAGUUAAUUGGAAAUAAAAAGGGUAAUUCUGAAAGAUCAGAUGAAGAGGGAUAUUUCUGGGUUAGAGGUAUUUCCCGAUUACAUCAACCCAAACAAAAUAAAACCCACAUUUUAAUGACUCCUAAGAGAUAAACCAAAUUAUUUUCAACAUUGACGGAUGAAUCUGACUCAUUUGGCUGUGAGAAGUGGCUUUGCCAGCUUGUGCAGAGGGAUGUCUGGUGGCCAGGCAGCUGGGGAUGGGGACGGGGACGUCCCCUGGCACCUGCAGGUGGUGGUGGCACCCGGUGCCCAUCGCCCACAGAGGGGCCUCGCGGUCCCCGUGUGCACAGCCCCAUUCUGCACUGGGGUGGGAGGUCUUGGGAGCACAUCCCAGGUGCAAGGGAUGGGGUGGAACCCGGGCUGGGCCCGGCCGAGGGAAGCACACUUCUCCAGUGCACGCUGCUCUAUUUAUAGUGAGAAACCAGAGAGUGGAAAAACAUCACAGAAUCCAUAUUGGAGGCAAUAUUCAUGAAGGAGCAGCAAAAAAUCGCGGUAAUCCCUUUGGCAGCCUCGGGGGGCCGGAGUUCCCUCGGCUUCCUGCAUCUAUUUUUGAGACAGAGCAGCUCAGCUGCUGGAGGCAUCGACCCGGAGCACGGAGCACAGGGAGCUCCUCUGCUGCAGAGCAGCACUGUGAUCUCUGGGCGCUGUGAAGGAAGGUGACCCGCAGCCCAGCCCCUGCUCCCCCCCCAGAGCUCUGGGCCUCAGCACCAAUGGGAGCUGCGUGCUGCUGCACAGAGCGGGUGGAAACCAGGGAUGCGUUGACUGGCACAGGCACCAGGAACGUACAAAGUAAAUUGGAUUUGGUUUGGGGAUUAAUGAGGAAAAAUCUAGGGAGGCUCCAGAGCACAUCUGAGAAAACACGAUAGUGGGAGUUCACUGCAAUGCUUCAGCCGUGGUUUUAUCUUAACUGUUUGGCAUUUGUUUGCCCAGAACCAGAGCUGCGAUGGGCAAUGUCACCUCCCAGGGGAUGAGGCUGCGCAGUACAAAGCACUGCUGUGGCCCUCUGCCUCCGGGUGGGAGCUGCAUGUCCCAGUCAGGCUUUUCACCUCUGCCCAGAGUGCUAUCAGCAGCCCCAGUGAUGGCACAACUGCGAAUCUCCUGCUCUGCUGGAGCUCCUGCUGAGCUGCAGCCCCUUCUGCUUCCUGCUGGCUGGGAGUGGGCUCUGUGUGAAGCAGAUUUAAUAUGGAUGGCCUUGCUGCCCAGACCCUUUGGAAACGGAUUUUGUCAGGGGCCCAAAGCAAUGCAAUUGCUUCUGCUACAACAAAACGCAGCUGGUUUGGGUUUUCUGAUUUAUCCCCUUGAUCCUGGCCGUAAGGGGCUGUUGUUUGCCAGCCCAUUGUUUCCCCAUUGAAAACAGAUGGUAGGGGGUGAAAAUCCGAUUGCAUUCACUGCAAAGCACUGACUGACCACCAACCUGCUGGCUGGGGCACUGUGGGGGCCUGCUUCUAUCCCUGGAUCACCCCAACCCUGUGAUGGAUGUGGACCUGGGGACGAGGUGCCAGACAGACAGAUACAUGGAUGCCAGCAGGGCCCGUCCCUGUGCCUGCUCUGACCUCACACUGCACAGAACUGUCCCCUCACUGCCUUGCAGAGGAUAAGCAGAGGAAUGCUCACCACCACAGCACCUUCCUAAGGCACCAAUUGGUGGAUAAGGGGCCUCAGGGAGGGCAUGUUUCUGCCAACAUCGCAUUUUCACUGAAAUCAGUUGAAAGUCAGUUGUUGAAUCUUGGAGAAGGUGUUGAUACUUAGAAGUUUGUCCUAAGAAAAAGGAUCAAAACUGCUCUGCUUCCUGCCCUGGACAGCUCUCAGCACUCCUGACAGCACUCCAGGGCACUGUAGCUCAGCACCCUGCAGCAGGCAGAGCACUGAGCAUCGAUGCCUCGAGUGCUGCAUCCCGGGAACAUUGUGCCCAACGCUCAGGUAAAUCCUAGCACACGCUAAACAAGGCAGAAUAUGCUCUUUCCUUGCUGGUAGAUUUCUGCUGUAAACACCAAGAUUUGAAACUUUUGUUCUUUUGAGGGAAAAAAAAGCACCUGUCUUAAAGCAUGGGGUGUCGAACUUUUCCAACUUGUUUGCACUGAAGAAUGGAAGGGCUCUUCCCAGUGUGUUGAGGGGCACUGGGGUCCUGCAGCAGCCCCUUAGGAAUCGGCCUCCUGGGGUCAGAUCACCCCCCAGGUUGGUAUUUAGCACCGCUCUGGGGUUCUGCUGAGCUGCCACAACAGCUGAGCUUGGCAUCUUCCCAUGGCCGCCCCUCUCUGCAUUGCGUUCAGCAGCCGAAGCGCAAAGGGCAGCAGGAGGCAGUGCUGCUGAGAGCUGCAGGGAGAGGUCCUUAAAGCCUGCUCUGUGAGCAGAUGCACAUACCUCAGUGCUACUUCUGUGUACAGCCGCCCCGGAGCCCUGAGCUAAAAUUUGCAGUGCUUUCAGAGAAGUUCACAAGGGAGACCUCAGCCCAACAUGCAGGUUUGUGACUUCUGUCAGCACAAGGACCGUCGACUGCUGCUCCAGUCGUGGCUUUCAGCUCACAGCCCAUCCCACACUUACAGAGGUGCUCUGGAGUCAUACAGCUGGGCGCAGAGGAGGACAUUCCCAGUGUGGAUAUGUCAGGGUAACACCUCUGCAUCCUUCGGGGAGGGUUAACAUUUGGACAGUGUUAAUGCAUAGUAGUGCUUCUGGGUUUACAUUGCUGCCGUGCUGCUCCCUGCCAACCUGUGUGCUCUGCUCCCCACGUGGCACGGGCCCAGCACUGGCACUCAGGAUUUAAACAAAAUACCCAUUAAUAUCUGCAAGAGUCAUGCCUGAGUAAUGAGUGCAGGAACAGGACACCAUUAUGGGCUGCGAAGGAAAACAAUUAAGAUCAGCCACAGUAUUCAGAAGGCAGCUCUGCAAAUAUCCUUUUCCUCUCUCAAGAAACAAAGAAUGUUUCUGAGGUUGCUUGGAGCUGUACUCUGAAUAUUCAUGGAGUGAUACCGGCCUGUUUGCUGUGGGGGUGAGGAAGGCCACAUGCUGUAACCUUUGCUUUGCAGCUCAGUGCCUCAUUUCCUGCAUCCUUAGAAAACCAACUGACAGCCACAGAGCAUUGGUGCCAGCAACUGCACGGUGGCAUCACAGCGUGGUUGGGUUAGAUGGGACCCCUCUCCCAGCCCCACCCUGCUGCGUUCUGGCUUCCCCCAAGCUCAGGCUGCCCAGGGCCCAUCCACAGCCUCGGGCACCUCAGGGAUGUGGCACCCACAGCUCUGCAGCACUGCUGGGGCCUCACCAUCUUGUUAGUGAUGAAUUCCUUCUGGCAUCUGAACUAAAUCUCCCCUCUUUUAGUUUAAGGCAUUCUCCCUUGUUCUAUUGGCAUGCAUGCUCUCUGGGCAGCCCCCAGCUGGGGACAUCGUGCUCCCCACACCCUGCCCAGGGCUGUGCUCUCCCCACACCCUGCCCAGGUUCCACUCUUGGUGCUUGCCAGGCAAUGUGGUUUGGCAGCACAGAGCCUGGAAACACCCAUGGAAAGAGCCUGGGGGAACAGCACAGCUCUGUCCGGCACAGACACGCUCUGUGCUGCGCUUGGGGAGUGGUGGCAAAUUAAAGGCUGAGAAACAAAACAUCUGAUUUUGGUCUGUGGUAUGUGUAUGUGCAAGGCCAGAAGGAAGCGUGCUCAGGGCUUUGUUUUGCCUUCCUCCCUCUCGAUUCCCAAAGGAUCAGGACCACGUAAGGCCAUGCAGACACCUUACACGACCUAUGCACAAACUGACCAACUGGUUGUGGAGCAGCUCAAACAUGAGGGGACUCCAACAGCACAGCUCUGCACAGGAAGCAGCUGUGCAUGGUUCAGGGCAGUGCCUUCAGCCCCCUGCCCCCAUCCCUAUCCCCUGCCCUCCCUGCUGCCCCAUCCUGGCUCUCUACAAGGGCUGCUUUUCCAGCCCUGCCAAUCUGUUUACUCAGGUGGCCUCAAGGGAAGGUUCUGGCGAAGCACUAACAGGCUUCAGCUCCAAAGGAGAUCUUUAUUCACUGCUCUGUCUGUUGGCCUAAGCCUUGUUCGGCUUUUUCAUUCACAGUCAGAAGAUGCCCAUGUCCGACCUAUCAGCUCCAGCUGUGGGGCACAAAGGGAUACCUGGGCGCCCAGCACCACGAUUUGCUCAGAGGGCACUUUGUUUCCCUUGCAGACAGAAGCUGCUUCCCUGCAGUUUUGCUCUGUUUCUCAGGAAUGCAGUGCAGGGAUACCUAAAGCUGUGAACACAGCGUGGGAGGUGGAGGAGCAGCAUGCAAGGUGGGCACGGGGUGAUGGCAGCUGGAGAUGGCAGUGGGCAGCAGCCCCCAGUAAGGGAGCAGCACAGCACCUGACUGCCCAGAGAUUUACUUCCCUGCUGAUUUGGCUGAAGAAGUGGAGUUAAAAAGUAAAUAAAGCUCAAAUUAGAUUUAUAUAGACAUCAUUAAACUCAUAUUUAUAGAAUAACACGUACCCAUAUGAACUUUAUUUAGCUUGACAACAGCAGCAGCUGCUGCAGGGCUCUGGGAGGGUGCUUCCCCUGAAACGCAGAGCACUUCCUAUCUGAUCCUGCCCCUCUGCAUUUUUCCCCUCUGGAGCUUUAAAGAAAGUUGUAGCGUGGUGUUUAUACAGCCACCUCAGCCUGCCUGUAGUUUACAUUUUUCUCACCUGAAGCCACUGAAUUUUGAGUGAUUUUAAUUAUAGAAUCUGAAAUUCACAUUUCCAAAUAGAAUGGAAAAGCCCAUCCUUAGCUCGGCUUCUCUGCCCCUGCUGGAGGUGGCAUGCAGUGUGUCCAACUAAAAGUACAAAGGAGAAAUAAGAAGGCAAUGCCUCACUCACACUGCCCAGAAACCCACACUUUUGGCUGAUGGGGGCACAGCAGGGGUUAAAUGCCCAGAGCAUAUCGACACCCAGGCUGGCACAGCAGUGCUUGGUGCAGGGCAGUGCCAUCCUACUGCUGCACCCCUGCUGGCCUUGGAGACACCGCAGGACAGCCAGGCAGCAUCUCCCAACAGCCUGCGCCUUGCUGCUGGAAAAACUCUCCUGAGUAAAAUAUUUCUGGGAAAAAAA